AUAUUAUCAUUAUAUUAAUUUAUGUUAUUUGAAAUCAGACAUUUUAGUUUAUUUUUUAUUUUAUUCUAAUCACAAUAUAUCUUAAAUUAUACAUAAUCUUAAUAAAAUAUACUUAUGUAUUUAAGACAACAACCAACCUAAAAUGUAAAUAAGAAAAUUAAUCAAAAAUUAAUAUAUUUACAAAAAUAAUUAUUAUAGUUGAAUUCAAAUAAUAUGUCCAAAUGACAACUAAAUUGACUAUAAAAACAACAAAAUCAAUUAGAUAAAUAUUUAAUUAAAGUAAUAUGAUAUAAUUAAUAUAAAUUAUACAUAAAAAUUAUAAAUUAAUUUGAAAUUAAAAAUAAAUAUCAAUUAAUUAUCAUAUUAUAUUUAUUUUAUAAAUAUUUAUGUCCGUGCAUGAGCACGGGAAAAUCACCUAGUAUAUCUAAUAUAAUCAGUCCAACCAAUCAUGGGCUGGUUAACAGUGCUGGCUUCACAUAUGAGGCGGUUAGUGCGACCGCUCUAGGACCACUCCAAUUUCAAAUUUUUUUGUUUGAUUUUUUUUGUUAACAUGUAAACGUUAUAUAAUACUAUGUUUAAAUUUAGAUGACCAUAAUAUAAAAUUAUGAUAAUGCAAAAUUUUUGUAAAAAUAAAUAAAAGCAAAUACAAACAGUUAUUUAAUAAUAAUUUAAAAAUAUUUUCUUCAAAAUAUAUAUUUUUAAGAAAAUAUAGCUUUAAAAAAUAAUUUUGCAGCCCAAGGGCCCCUAGUUGCAACCAGCCGGCCCUGCUGGUUAAUUUCAUCAUGCAGCUUUUUAUAAGAUAUUUACGUUUGUUCAUAUCAUGAAUAAUUAAUUACAGCCAAUAUUCUAAUAUAUAUAUAGUUGGAAAACAACCUAGGUCUAACGCGAGUCCUCCCCCCCCCCCCCCCCCCCCCCCCCCCCCCCCCCUCCCAUGGAAUCACUGCAGCAGAACGAUCGUCAAACCAUCACUACAGGAUCGUCAAACUCAGACCCUGUCCCAGAUGAUGUCAUUGUCGAGAUACUCUCUAGAUUACCAACGAGAGAAAAAAGAGAUUUAGUUGGAUAAAAACUUAUUUGGGGUAUGAUCCGGUUGAGAAACAAGUCAAGGUAUUGAGAAUAACAUGGGAAUGUGAAGUAUACCAUGCAAUCUCUGACGAGCAUCAAGUUCUGACAUUAGAAACUGAUAAAAUGUCAUGCAGAACGAUUGAAUGUGGUACACCUCAUUCUCCUAGUUCUGGUGGUGUAUGCAUCAGUGGUGUUUUGUACUACAAAGCUGCUGAUCAAUUAUUUUCCAAAGUUUCUAUGAUUGUAUGCUUUGACGUUAGAUCUGAGAAGUACAACUUUGUUAGAGUUAGAGAAAGUUCCAUUGGAGCAGUGGAUACUACAACAACUCUGAUAAACUAUAAAGGUAAAUUGGCUUCACUUAUGAUGGAAAGGUCUUAUAGCUUUUGGAGCAGUAUAAGUUUUGACAUGUGGGUUCUACAAGACCCCGAAAAACAAGAAUGGUCGAAGCAUACUUACAAGUUUCCCAUCUUGAGUAAUGAAGUUAGAGAGGACACGUUAUACUGUGUUAGAGUGUCUGAAGAAAACUAGCAGAAGAGUUGAAAUCCAAGGAAUUCGAGGGAAAAAGGUUUAUACUUUUCUCGACCAUAUAGAGGACGCGAAGCUUACGUAAGUGUUUGGAUUGUCUCAUCAUAAGGACUGUAAUAGAGCCAUGAUCUUUCUACAUGUUUUCUUUUCUUUUUGAUAUUCCUUAUCUUCGGUUUGUCUUUGAUGUGUUAUUUAUCUAUCCUCUUGUUCAAUGUGUUUCAUGCACUCUGGAGCUAGAAAUUGUAAUGUUACAAGAAAGAUGCGUACUUGGUAAUAUUUUAAAAAGUAAUUCA